rnacentral:rRNA from 1 species
UACGGAGGGUGCAAGCGUUGUCCGGAAUCACUGGGCGUAAAGGGCGCGUAGGCGGCCUGAUAAGUCGGGGGUGAAAUCCUGCGGCUUAACCGCAGGGCUGCCUUCUAAACUGUCAGGCUCGAGCACAGUAGAGGCUGGUGGAAUUCCCGGUGUAGCGGUGGAAUGCGUAGAGAUCGGGAAGAACAUCAGUGGCGAAGGCGGCCUGCUGGGCUGUUGCUGACGCUGAGGCGCGACAGCGUGGGGAGCAAACAGG